UACGUAGGUGGCAAGCGUUGUCCGGAUUUAUUGGGUUUAAAGGGUGCGUAGGCGGCUUUGUAAGUCAGUGGUGAAAUAUGGCAGCUCAACUGUCAAGGUGCCAUUGAUACUGCAGAGCUUGAGUACAGAUGAGGUAGGCGGAAUUGACGGUGUAGCGGUGAAAUGCUUAGAUAUCGUCAAGAACACCUAUAGCGAAGGCAGCUUACUAGGCUGUAACUGACGCUGAGGCACGAAAGUGUGGGGAGUCAAACAGG
rnacentral:rRNA from 1 species